rnacentral:rRNA from 1 species
UACGUAGGGUGCGAGCGUUAAUCGGAAUUACUGGGCGUAAAGCGUGCGCAGGCGGUUUGUUAAGCCAGAUGUGAAAGCCCCGGGCUUAACCUGGGAAUGGCAUUUGGGACUGCAAGGCUGGAGUUUGGCAGAGGAGACUGGAAUUCCUGGUGUAGCAGUGAAAUGCGUAGAUAUCAGGAGGAAUACCGAUGGCGAAGGCAGGUCUCUGGGCUAUAACUGACGCUCAUGCACGAAAGCGUGGGGAGCAAACAGG